AUUGAACGCUGGCGGCAGGCCUAACACAUGCAAGUCGAGCGGUAGCACAGAGAGCUUGCUCUCGGGUGACGAGCGGCGGACGGGUGAGUAAUGUCUGGGAAACUGCCUGAUGGAGGGGGAUAACUACUGGAAACGGUAGCUAAUACCGCAUAACGUCGCAAGACCAAAGAGGGGGACCUUCGGGCCUCUUGCCAUCAGAUGUGCCCAGAUGGGAUUAGCUAGUAGGUGGGGUAACGGCUCACCUAGGCGACGAUCCCUAGCUGGUCUGAGAGGAUGACCAGCACCACUGGAACUGGGACACGGUCCAGAAUCCUACGGGAGGCAGCAGUGGGGAAUAUUGCACAAUGGGCGCAAGCCUGAUGCAGCCAUGCCGCGUGUAUGAAGAAGGCCUUCGGGUUGUAAAGUACUUUCAGCGGGGAGGAAGGUGUUGAGGUUAAUAACCUCAGCAAUUGACGUUACCCGCUGAAGAAGCACCGGCUAACUCCGUGCCAGCCGCCGCCGUAA
rnacentral:rRNA from 1 species